rnacentral:rRNA from 1 species
CCUACGGGAGGCAGCAGUGAGGAAUAUUGGUCAAUGGACGCGAGUCUGAACCAGCCAAGUCGCGUGAAGGAAGACUGCCCUAAGGGUUGUAAACUUCUUUUGUAUGGGAAUAAAAAAUAGAACGUGUUCUAUAUUGUAUGUACCAUACGAAUAAGGAUCGGCUAACUCCGUGCCAGCAGCCGCGGUAAU